GCAUAAUCAUUAGUCUUUUAAUUAAAGGCUGGUAUGAAUGGUUGGACGAGGUGCAAGCUGUCUCACUUGGACCAUUAUUGAAUUUAACUUUUCAGUGAAAAGGCUGAAAUGUAAUUGGAGGACGAGAAGACCCUAUAGAUCUUGAUAACGUAUGAGUACAACAAAGUUGGAAUGAGUUGAGUUAAAUUCAAAAGUUAUUCUGUUGGGGUGACAGGAAGAUAAAAUUAACUUUUCUUUUUAAAAUACACGGAUGAGUGAAUAAUUGAUCCAUUAAUUGUGAUUAUAAGACUAAGUUACCUUAGGGAUAACAGCGUAAUCUUUUUCGAGAGUUCUAAUCGACAAAAAGGGUUGCGACCUCGAUGUUGGAUUAAGGAUUAUUUUGGGUGUAGAAGUUCAAAGUUUAGGUCUGUUCGACCUUUAAAUCCUUACAU
rnacentral:rRNA from 1 species